rnacentral:rRNA from 1 species
UACGGAGGAUGCGAGCGUUAUCCGGAUUUAUUGGGUUUAAAGGGUGCGUAGGCGGGCAUUUAAGCCGGCGGUCAAAUGUCGGGGCUUAACCCCGUGCCUGCCUCUGAUACUGUUCGACUGGAGAGCGGAUGCAGCAGGCGGAAUGAGUAGUGUAGCGGUGAAAUGCUUAGAUAUCGCGCAGAACCCCGAUUGCGAAGGCAGCGUACCGGCUCCACACUGACGCUGAGGCACGAAAGCGUGGGUAUCGAACAGG